CUGGUAGGAGAAAUACUAUGAUCACGAAAGUGGUUAUUUAUUCCAAGGGAAAGCUGAUCCAUCGCACCCCGGGCUUUGCUGACCUCUGCGAUUUCCCCACGUGGGGGAAACUGCAUAAUUUGUGUUGGUGAGGGGUCAUAUGCUCGCUUUCUCCCGGA